rnacentral:lncRNA from 1 species
UCCUCAGCACAAGUAGACACUAGACUACAGCAGACAUGAGUAGACAUGACUAGACUCAUUGGUGACCAACGCGCAUGACCAAGAUCAAAGAGCAAGUCAGCCUCUGCUGCGAAUGGUGGGAAAGGAAGGAAGGAGAAAUAAGAUGUCUGGGCAUAGACGUUAUAAGAUAUGGACAGCCAACACGAGGCGCGCGCAGUGGGAAAGCGUUGACUCACCGCGUGACCGCGGGGUGGAAGAGAAGGUGGUGUACAGGCAAUAUCCGGUCGCUUUGUUUUGUAUCCGCGAGUAUCUUUCAAUCCUUUGCUGUUGAAGAAGUCCUCUUAGUCUGUCUGGAGGUCUUGGAAGAGUCUUGUGGGACUUGAGGUCAGAUGACAACAUUUCAGACAAUGUAAAGGGAAUAUUCCCUAAUGUUGGUGGACCUGCACUACUUCAUGAUUUACAGUUUCUUAGCCUGUGUAUAGUGAAGAAGAGCAGGUCGAAAACUGCUACAAAAGAAAAAGUAUACAUGUAUACAAAUUUUCACAAGGAAUUUUUAAUUGAUUGUAAAGAUAUUGAAAGGCAUAUCCCAUCUCUGCAUCAAUAUGGAUCUGCCUAAUGGUAUUUGAAAAGAUGGUAAAUGAAAACUACAACUUGGCUAAUACUCAGUCUGUAACUGAUUUAAGCGAGGUUGCUGAUGAGGAAAUAGAGACUGUAUAGUAUAUUGGAGACUAUGUGCUAUGUAAUGUUAAGAAAUGAGCAAUUAAAUUCUCAUAAUAAGAAAGAUGAUUUUUUUCCAUGUUUAAAAGAACUCACACAUGAACCUAACACCAGAACAAGAUCUUCUGAGCCUGCUGUGAAAUCAAUGACACAUUAUGGAUAGAUGGGGAGUUACAGAAUUAAAACCCAUGUGAUUCAAAUUUUUCUGAAGUUCAAGUCUAUAUUUAGACAAUGCUUUGAUGGCCAGGUGGAUUUUUUUCCUUUUCACCAGGCCUUUUCAUAUUGCCUACUUUACUGUGAAAAGAAAAAGUCAUUAGCAAACAUAUUUAGUAAAAUGGAAAUUAAAAUAUCUUUACAAUCAAUUAAAUCUAUAAGAAUUUAAAUUGUCUUCACAAAAUGUAUACAUACUGAGUUGACAUAAUAUAUAUAUAUAUAAUUUAUGUCCUUGUAUUUUGAUUAAUUUUGUAUCAUCUCCUUUAUUUACAUUUGUGCAAAAUCAAUAUUGAUCAUGAUGUUAUAGUGUUAAAACCACCCUCCCAACUUCAGGUUGAUGCUAUUUUCUGCUUUAAGAGAGACAUUAUACUUAAUGUGUCAAUGUCAUGGUUAUAAAAGUAAAGCACAUUCAAAAGUUUAGGUUUAUGUAGAAAAUGAUUAUCAUCAUACAUGUAGUACAUUUGUAUAAAAGUUAAGUGGACUUUUUGGCAAGCCUAAAUAUCCGAAAAGAGUUGAAAUCUUAAACAUCAUAUAAGUAGAGGAGCUUUACUUAAUAUAUAUCUACAUGCGUAAUAAAAAUUGAUGUUAAAUAUUGAUUUCAUGGCUUUUAAUCACUUUGGCACUUACAUUCAUGCACACUCAAUUCAA